CCCACGCAGGCAGUUCAAAACUUCCAAGUUCCAACCGCUCAAAAAUUAUAGCUGUCGAUGUGUCAAUUAUUUUGUCAGACACGUAGAGCAUGUUUGUUUCUUUAGCACCUCCUAAAAUUCCUGUCACAUCGAAUAUUUAGAUACUAAUUAGGAGUAUUAAAUAUAGGCUAAUUACAAAAUCAAUUGCACAGAUGGAGAUUAAUUUGCGAGACGAAUCUAUUAAGCCUAAUUAGUCCAUGAUUUGACAAUGUGAUGUUACAGUAAACAUGUGCUAAUGAUAGAUUAAUUAGGCUUUAUAGAUUCGUCUCGUGAAUUAGUCUCCAUUUAUAUAAUUAGUUUUAUAAUUAGCUCAUAUUUAAUCCUCCUAAUUAGCCUCCAAAUAUUCGAUGUGACGAAUUUUAGUCACGACUAAAACGCAUCAGGUCCCUUUCCCCAUGUGAACACGAGGAUCAACCAGCAACGGCCAGUCCAGCAGUCCGCUCGAACAAAACAGCACACGCGUCCUCGCUCGUAGCCGCUGCGUGCUUGGCGUGGUCUGACCGGCGGGAUCUCGAGAGAUGCGUCGAUCUCCCAACCGCCAAUCAGCCCAGUUGCCACCACCCUUCACGUUCGUCUCCUCGUCGCCAUAUGAAUCCCACCGUCCACUCGCGUGCGAAAUUAAACGCGAAGUGGACGGCGACGGCGAGGUCUGGCCACUGAGGCCGUGGAAGGUUAGGUUGGAAGGGGGGAAUUUCGCUGUGCAGUUGCCCGGUAACAACUGUGUGUUGGAUCAGCAAGAAAGGGACGGGAGAAGGCGAAAAGGAGAGGCCAAGAACCCCGAAUAAAGAAAGGCGAAAGGUGGCCGGCACUGUGGCGCAAGCGGACGAUGUGUGGUCUCUCCUGUUGCUCUCGCUGAAGAAGGAGACGGGCCAAGAAGCUUGCAGAUUCCGGCGUCGCUUGGAGUUUGUCCUGGCCUGCGUUUUAGUUUGAGGGGCAAGAACAGGCCAAAGCGCAGACGGAACAACCUGAAAAAGUGAGGAGAGGGAGCCCCCAAUUUUGUCCUGCUUGCUGCUUCUGCUUAUUCUCCUACUCUUCCUCCUCUCUCUCCCUUGACCUUCUUUUGUUGGUUGCGAGCUGAAUUCGGAGCGUGCCAGCCUAAUUUUAGCCGAACCGGAGAUUGCCACGGGACGGAUUCUUCAGGGGUAGCUUCGGUUGGUUGCUAGGCUGGGCGCUUCCCCCCAGUCUGUUCGAUUCGACGCCAUGGAGGUCUAGCCGGCCACUUGCAGGUGCCGGAGCUCGCGUUUCCUGACGCGCGCUUUCUGGCGUUCUGCAAGAAUCUCAUCCCUCCAAGAGCAGAUUCUUCACCCACAACCUUGUUGUUGGAGUUGGAGCCCAAUUUUUUUUUUUUUUUUUGAAUUUGGCACGGCUCCGCCCCUCGCGGCGCAAAAGGAUGCUCCUUUCGUGACCGGCAAGGUUGGAUUCUCAUCACCUUCGUGGCUGUCGAUUGGGUUCUGAUGUUCUUGGCGAGGUAGGCGGCGUCAGAUGCCCAAGCCUGGAGGUUGCAGCAGCAGCAGCAGCGGCCGCGGAGGGAGUGGUGGUGGUGCUGGGCCGAGCGGCGGGGACGCCAAGGACUUGCCGCAGCUUUUGCUCAGGGUGGGCGUCGCCGUCACGCUCUCCGUCGCUGGGCUGCUCUUCUCGCGGCGCCAGCGGCCGCCCCGGCAGCUCCUGCUGCCACCCCCUCCUCCUCCCUCAGGUACCAGCCAUGAGCAGAUUUGUAGCGCCUGUGAAGAUGGCGCAUCGAUUGUCAAUUGUGCUUUUGUGCUGUGGUACAUGAAAUUUGGUGAUGAUGUGCAUGUGUGUUUGUGAUUGUAGAGUCGGAUGAUGCCCCAAGCAUGAAGGCCAGAACAGGGCUCAAGGAGCUGAGGAUCCUCAAAAAUGUAAGGAUUUGGAUUUUGAAUAAUUGAAUUUCAUGGUUUACUUGUAAUUCAUAGUUCUGAAGAUUCAACCACCCUUUAAAAUUUGUCCAUGUUCGUGCGUAGUAUUUGUGGCUUUUGAUGAAAACUUUUAUUUUUUUUAAUGCUUAAAUUUUUUUGGUUCUAAAUACUGGUGUUUUGAUCUUCUCUUAAGUGAUUAAACUCAUUUUACACUGCUAGGUGAUGUUAAUAUCGCCUAAAACAUUAUCCUAACAGAUGACCCUUUCAUUGCACACUUCUUUCAAAUGGUAUCUUGUGAAACAAGGUUAAGUUUUCGAUUUUGCAGUACAAGUACAACACGCAUGAAUGUAGUUUGUCUUCGAUAAAACACGACUUGACUUCUGAUUGACCAUUCAUGUUUUAUUUUGCAUAUUAUUCCUAUUGAAUUGAACGAGUGUGUUGACAUGUUGACCUUUUUUUCUGUUUGUCAAGGAGGACACCAGGGCAAAAAUCAUCAGUGGAAACUCUGUUCACACAACCACUACAACCACAACGACCACCACCACAGCCUUAGUGCCAUUGGCCCCCAAAUGCAGAAGCAUUGCCGAUGAUGAAGGAUACCUCCUUCCAGAGUUCAAUGAAAUGGUUCUCAAAGAAUUUUGCCGAGACAUAGACAGUAUCCCAACCACACCUGCAGCAAGAGUAAGGGAAGAUGUAUCUAAUGACCAUGAAAUCCACAAGCUUAGAGAUUUGGUGAGAUCCCUGCAAGAAAGGGAGAAGACCCUGGAGCUACAGCUUCUGGAGUAUUACGGUUUACAGGAGCAAGAUGCCGCAGUGAGGGAGCUUGAGAAUCAGCUGAAGAUUAACAAUGUUGAAUCCAAGCUGUACUCGUUGAAGGUCGAAUCUUUACAGUCUGAAAACCAGGAGCUGCAAGCACAGUUGUCAGAGAACUCAAAGAUAAUCUCUGAGCUUGAGGCGACAAGAGCGAAGUGCAAGUUGCUAAAGAAGAAGUUGGCAUUGGAUGCAGAACAGUCAAAGGAGAAAGUGACUUCCCUUCAGAAAACAGUCGAUUCAUUGCAGCACAAAGAGACUGAUGAGGUGAACAAUCAUAUUGAGGUUGAGAAUAAAUUGAAGAGGCUAGAGGAGCUGGAAAAGGAGGCAACAGAGCUUAGAGCUACGAAUUCAAGGCUGCAGCAGGAGAAUGCACAUCUUAUUAGGCGACUGGAGCUUACACGCCUACCCCCUGUACCCAAGCCUAAAAAUAGCAUAGAGGUGAUUCUUUACUGUUCUUGGACUUGUAGCUGGCACUUACUAAAUCAAUUUUAAUCCUUGGAGUGGUCAUUCCUAAGGACGACAUGGUGUUCUCAAUAUUUCUUUUGCAAAUGAGACGAAGUCACAUAAUUCUACCACAAAAUAAUUUUUUAUGUUAGUUUAAAGUUCAUUGUGUUCUUGAUAUUUUGUUGUUCCCUCAUGAAUUCAAUAACCUAUAAUGUCUUCAGGUAAAAGCAUUGGAGGAGGCUGAUCGGUUGAAGCAAGAAAACGAGAAGUUGGCUAAAGAGAUUGAACAACUGCAGAGUGACAGGUUUGCAGAUGUUGAAGAAUUGGUAUAUCUGAAAUGGAUAAAUGCCUGCCUACGGUAUGAGCUGAGAAACAAGGAUGCUCCAUCAGGGAAGACUGUUGCACGGGAUCUUAACAAGACCCUGAGCCCUAAGUCUGAACUGAAGGCCAAGCAGCUGAUAAUGGAAUAUGCCAACGCUGGUGCGGAGGACAGUCACUUGAGCCAUGUUGAAUUUGGUUCAGAAUGCUCUUCUUCACGGGCAUCGUCAGGUGAACCGGAUGAUGUAUCAAUUGAUGUCGCUGCGAUGACAAAGCAUAAAAACCCGAAGAAGAAAAAGUUCUUCUCUAAGCUUCGAAAACUGGUGCUUGGAAAAGGAAAGGAGAACCAUGAAGUUUCUACUCUGGAAAGGAGAGUAUCUAUUUCAAGCUGUUCAUUCGAUGACUUAACUGGAAGGGAUUCACAUGAUAGCUAUUCUUCAUUCAUGGCAGAACCAAAUGUACCUGAUAGUCAACGACAUGGCGAUCAUGGCUUCAGUACGCAUUCUUCUUUGCACAGUGUGAAAUCUUGUCCUGUUGGAACAGAAACUGGAAAUGAGAGAAGUGAUCAUUCUGAUGUGAAGAGUAUAUCUUCUAGAGAGGAAAGGGUAAAUUCGUUUGGUCACAGUGCUCGCCUUGAUAGCGGCAAGGCCAUACCUGUGGAUGCGGAGAUCCAUAAAUUUGCCGAUGCACUGAGCACAUCAAGGUCAGGUUCCAU
rnacentral:lncRNA from 1 species